GGGGAUGUAGCUCAGCGGGAGAGCACCUGCCUUGCACGCAGGGGGUCGGCGGUUCGAAUCCGCUCGUCUCCACCA
rnacentral:tRNA from 1 species